rnacentral:rRNA from 1 species
CCCGCUCAGAAACUUAAAGGAAUGACGGGGACCCGCACAAGCAGCGGAGCAUGUGGUUUAAUUCGAAGCAACGCGAAGAACCUUACCAGAUCUUGGCAUCCAAUUGACCAUCUUUUAAUCGAGAUUUUGCCUUCGGGUACAAUUGAGACAGGUGGUGCAUGGUUGUCGUCAGCUCGUGUCGUGAGAUGUUGGGUUAAGUCCCGCAACGAGCGCAACCCCUAUUGCUAGUUACCAUCAUUAAGUUGGGGACUCUAGCGAGACUGCCAGUGAUAAACUGGAGGAAGGUGGGGAUGACGUCAAAUCAUCAUGCCCCUUAUGACCUGGGCUACAAACGUGAUACAAUGGCUGGAACAAAGGGAUGCGAAGCAGUGAUGUGGAGCGAAACCCAUAAAAACAGUCUCAGUUCGGAUUGAAGUCUGCAACUCGACUUCAUGAAGUCGGAAUCGCUAGUAAUCGCGGAUCAGAACGCCGCGGUGAAUACGUUCUCGGGGUUU